GGCUUGCUGGCGUGGAGGGACUGCAGCUUGCGUCUUCUCGCCUCCGCGAGCGCAGUUCUGGCAACUCUUCAAGAACAAAAGGUCAUGGUGAAUCUAAAUAUUUCUUCUUAAGGCUGGAGACUCACAUAUUGUUUGAUUUCUUGGUGUACUGAACCAAAGUCAUGGACCCAGGAUGAGGAAGAGAAUGAAUUUACAGAUGAAGUAGGGAAGGACAAACAAUACAUAUUAAUAGUUUCAUAAGAAUACGUCUCAUACCUACACUGGCCCAAUAUAUUAUGAUGGAACCCAAGCAAGACCACUGGGAAUAAAAAGUUUCUCAAAGACUACUGUCAAGGGACUUUGCUGGCGGUCCAGUGGUUAAGAGACCAUCUUCCAAUGCAGGGGACGUGGAUUCAAUCCCUGUUCUGGGAACUCAGAUUUCACAUGCUGAGGGGCAACUAAACCUGUGCAAAUGAAGCUCCUGAGCCUGUGAGCUGCAACUAGAGAGCCCGUGCCAUGGGGCUCACGCGAGGGAAGGCCACGUGCCACGGCCAAGACCUGAUGUAAAGGUUGUAAAGAAAUAAAGAAAGAAACCAAGAUCCGGAAAUUCUACCCAAGUGAGCUUCUGAGGGCUGCUGGAGUGCAAAGCUUCCAGAACACACUGAUGAAAGAAAGCUGUAAGUUGUGAACUGAAAAAAUAAGUUUACGUAUGUGUGAAAACACUAUCUCACCGAACCUUGCAACAAGAGAACAACUCCCCCUGAACCGGUGUGUGUUCAUUCAUACAGUUUUCCCGUUUCAGUGACGGUGUAUGUAUAUAGUGCUCGCUGCUCUCUCCAGCGAGCUAUUUCAGUUUCAUUUCCUUUUUGCAAGCUUGAUGCAUGUUGGUGGAAUAAUUACUGUGUUUUUUUACCACUAUCUCUCAAAUGCCUGAAGAACAAUAAUAGUUCUCUGUGCCUCAGGGAGACAUCCAGCUGAUAGCCGACAUUUGUUGAAGAAUCAUGUUAUUUUAGGCCAGCAUCAAAGUGGAUAACAAGUAGCAUAUCUCAUUCCUAGAACAAAUGAACAUUAUUCACAAAUCUUUCUGUUACUUUCAGACAAUAUUAAUAGUAUAAAGAAUAUAUUCUAUUUAUGUUAAUAAUACAAAAAAGUUAAUACUUACUAUGAAGUUUACUGCCCUUAGAAAUUUAAUAGCUAUACUAUAUGCUGAAAUUUAUCAAAUUUUCUA